rnacentral:piRNA from 1 species
AUCCUGUUCGUGACGACAUUCUCUG